rnacentral:lncRNA from 1 species
CUCUGAUCAAAGCAGCUCAAUGACAGUACAAGCUAUUGUCAGGGGAAAAUGCAGAGGAACAUUCAAUAUUUCUUUAAGAAGGAAGUCAUGUAUAAUGUGUAGAGAGAUAUCAGGUUAAGAUUAAAUCUUUAUAUCAUAUUGAGAUGGCUUUCCUGCUGUUUUAGAAAUUAAUUUGAGUUAAUCAUGAUCUUUCUACCCUUUGUCAUCUUUUUCUCCAUAGCUGAAUUAAUCGGUAGCAUAGCAGCCCUACAAACUGGGAGGCCUGAUUUUUGAGUUUGGCCCGAGGAUAGGAAGUCAAAAGCUGGCAGAAGACGGAUGCUUUGCCAAAGUGACAAAUUUCUUUUCCUGGAGAAAGUUGCUGACUGCAGUGUUCCAAUUGGAGCAGCUUAUCUGCCCCUCCAGAUGUUGAAAUAAUGACAGAUGCCCAGAGAAAGCUUGACAAGAGGAAGAAAAGAGCCUGCUGAAGAGUCCAACCUGUUUGUAUGCGGGAAAAUAAAAGUAACACUGAGAUCCCUGCUCUGAGGUCAUCAACCUCCUGUGAGAGAAACUUGUUCUCACCAGAGGAAAACUACCCAGUUGUAAAAUAUGGUUUGCAAGAUGAGAGAAACAUUUAUCCAAACAUUGCACCUUUCCUAAGAGAUUUCUUUGCAUCUUACUUGGACUGCUCAAAGAAGAUUUUUACAGUAUCCUUUGCAGUAACUUUUCAUUCAUGGCUGAAAAGCACUUAUUACGAAAUUCUUUCUGCAUUGAGUUGAAAUGUAAAUCUCCAUUGUGGACCCUGCACUAUACUCCCCAAGUAAAUCACUGUGUGACUGAACCUGAAAGCUGUAUUCCAGGUAGAUUAAUGAGCAUACCAAAGAGGGGACAUGGGGAGUUCAGAAAAAGUCAAGAACUAGAGAGUAGUCAAGGUAUAAUCAGACUUGGGUUGAAACAGCAAAUUCCAUAGCUUCCUGAUAAUGUUUUGGAAUGUGACACCUCUCAGGUUUCCCUCUGCUGCUGCUGCUAAGUCGCUUCAGUCGUGUCCGACUCUGUGCGACCCUAGAGAUGGCAGCCCACCAGGCUCCCCUGUCCCUGGGAUUCUCCAGGCAAGAACACUGGAGUGGUUUGCCAUUUCCGUCUCCAAUGCAUGAAAGUGAAAAUGAAAGUGGAGUCGCUCAGUCGUGUCCGACUCUUAGCGACCCCAUGGACAUCAGCCCACCAGGCUCCUCCAUCCAUAGGAUUUUCCAGGGAAGAGUACUGGAGUGGGGUACCUCUAAAUAAUCCACAGAGGAGAGAGCACAUUUACAUUGCUUUUGUUUACACAUAGAAACAAGCUAGAGUCCCAGAACUCUUUGAAGGUGUAACAAGGGCUGCUUCACAGAUAUUAUUUUUUCUCAAAUCCU